rnacentral:rRNA from 1 species
GUAGGGAAUAUUGGGCAAUGGAGGCAACUCUGACCCAGCCAUGCCGCGUGCAGGAUGAAGGCGCUCAGCGUUGUAAACUGCUUUUAACUGGGAAGAACGGCAUUUUUGCGAAGAUGUGUGACGGUACCAGUGGAAUAAGCACCGGCUAACUCCGUGCCAGCAGCCGCGGUAAUACGGAGGGUGCAAGCGUUGUCCGGAUUUAUUGGGUUUAAAGGGUGCGUAGGUGGGACUUCAAGUCUGGUUUGAAAGCUGGUGGCUCAACCAUCAGAUGUGGCUGGAAACUGAGGUUCUUGAAUGGCGUAGCGGUAGCCGGAAUGGGUCAUGUAGCGGUGAAAUGCAUAGAUAUGACCCGGAACUCCGAUUGCGAAGGCAGGCUACUGGGCGCCGAUUGACACUGAGGCACGAGAGCAUGGGUAGCAAACAGGAUUAGAAACCCCAGUAGUCC